ACAAAACAAGAACGAGAAAAGAGGAAAAAAAAGAAAAAGAAGAAAAACAGUCCAAUUCAAGGCAUGUGUCUGCUGUCAGUGGUAGACAAUGUGGAUAGACAGAGUCCAGAGAUGAACUGAUUAAUCCUAGCAAGCCAACCAUAGCUUUACAGCAUGGUAGUGGAUAAUCCCAGCUGGCCUAAACCUUUAGUUCCACUGAAGUUCAGGCUUGUUUCUGGCUAUGGCACUAGAACUGGAUUUUUGGAGCCUGUAACUGUCCAUAUGGCUCCUGCCAACUUGAACUCUGCUCUUACUUCCUGCUGAGUUGGACUUUGCACCCUCACCGAGAUAACUGAAAUCUACUAGACGGAGUUGCCUUGUAGCUGUUCUGAGUUCCAAGCUCAGUUGGCCCCUCUCCAAGAUGGCUACUGGCCAAUCACCCUCUCUUUGGUGACAUCGGAACCCAGUGGCCAGCCACUGCAGUCUGCUGUGUUCACUGCCCCUUUCCACUGAUGUGUUUCUCCAUGGAGGCCUCUGAGGUUGGAAGUAGUCAUGCAUCUGCAGGUUCGACCUGCUGUUUCCACACCAUCACCACUUACUCAUACAACAAGUAGCAAAAUUCAUAUUGUACUGCUCUUAAAGUCAGAGUGACUGGACUCUAGGGCUUGGAGCAACCACUUUUCUGUGCAGCUAUGAAGAAAUCAGGGGUCCAUUCCAACUAAAAACUCGUGAAGAACUCAAAGAAAAAAUUUACACCUCCCCCCUUUUCAGGUAUGUCCAAAGGAAGAGAUGAAUUAAAGCCCCCCAAGGAGAUAAUACUCAGGCCCAAAGGACAUGGGAGCUACUUUGCAAUCUAGUCCUCUUAUUGACCUUCUAAUGUGAAGAAUCAAUAACAAUUAGGAAUGAACAACAUUCUGUUCUUGGCCAUGUGGAAGACAUUGAAUCACUGCUAGCCAAGUCCUGGAACAAUCCCCACUAUUUCUGCAACAUUUGGUGCGUUGGCCAGGAAUCAGGAAUAAAAUAGCCCUUUUGGGCAUCCACCCGAACCCCACCGGAGGGAGCCGGUCUCUGUCUCCUCAAGAGGAAAGGUGCACCCUUGGGACUAAUUUCCUAGGCUCCCCAAAAGGACACAGAGAUCCGCUCACCAUUGGAGGUUUGUCCAAACCCGAGAAGGAGACUACAGAAGGAAGACUGCUGCUCUUGGUGUCUCGUCUGUCUCUUUCCUUUGCUGGAAAACCUAAUGUAUUUUCGGAUAUUAUUUUCCUGAAGAAACACAGAAUGAAGACAGGAGAUAAAACUAUAGAGAUAUAUAUUGAAAAGACUAUUUAUCUCUCUCUCUAUAUAUAUUUUUGGUACUGGGGAUGGAACUCAGGACCGUGCAGGUGUGGUGCUGCCGAGCUAAAUCCCUGGCCCAAUAGUCUUUUAAAUAUUAAGAAGGUGGAGACAGGCAGGUCUGCCGAUGCCC